rnacentral:lncRNA from 1 species
CGUUGCUCCAUUUUUACUUUCGGUGGUCUCAGGAAGGUCCGAUUUUUCUUCUCUUUCUUCCCCUUCGUAUUGGCUUGGAAGUUUCGCCAGCUGUCCACACGACCAUCUCGACUUUCCUCAAAGUUUUUCUGCCACUCUCUUUCCCGUUUGGCUUUUUCUUGAGCUUCAAUCUCUUCUUCCCUUUGUCGUUUCCUUUCAUGCAUCUCUUUGGCUUCUCUCUCUUUCCUUUUAAUUUCCAGCUCUGCAAAGAGUUUCAUUGUCUGUUUAUAUACAGCUUGUUUG